rnacentral:rRNA from 1 species
UACAGAGGGUGCGAGCGUUGUCCGGAAUCACUGGGCGUAAAGGGCGCGUAGGCGGUCUCUUAAGCGUGUGGUAGAAAGCCCGGGGCUCAACUCCGGGUCGGCCGUGCGAACUGGGGGACUGGAGCUUGUCAGAGGCAGGCGGAAUUCCGGGUGUGAGCGGUGGAAUGCGUAGAGAUCCGGAAGAACGACCGGUGGCGAAGGCGGUCUGCUGGGCAGUUGCUGACGCUGAUGCGCGACAGCGUGGG